ensembl:lncRNA
CUUUCCUCCCCGACAAAAGCCCCUCGUUUUUUUUACUCUGUAGGAACGUCGCCCCAAGCUGCAAACGUGGCAAGGAGUGCCUGAGGGUAAUGUCAGGAGUCAGUCUGCUGUGCAUCUGGUUCUAUCAGUACUUUUAUCUGCCUCUUCCUUCCUUCAGGGGAGUUGGAGAGAGGACAAAACCUUCAGAGCUGGUGGAAGUAAAGGCCCGCUUGUCCUGGAUCUUCCUUAAAUUAACACAGGACAACUCUAAGUUAAACCAGCGUUUGAAACCAGCAAGAUAAAACAGCAGCUCCAAGAAAAUGGAACAACUUCUUGCAAGCGUCCCUAGUAGAGAGCAAAGAAACCUCACCAAUCUGCAAAUAAGGCAGCUCUUUGUUUACCUUAGAAGUAGGUUUCGCUCUUUGUACACUGGAACGAUAUAAAAGAGGCAAAUAACUGAGUGACAAAUCAUCUUCUUCCUUGAGGAACAGCCGCUUUCCACGUGAGUGCAGUACAGCUUUCUGUAGGCUUCCUCAUGUAUUACAGACUGCUACCUCAAAGUGGCUGAGCACAUCCUAUUUGUACAGUAAAAACCAAACAUUAGAAGGCAUAAACAAAGUUGAACAGAUAGUCCCUGAAGAGUAUUUAAAAAUAGGAUUGGGGGAUAAUACAGAUUGGCAGGGGCCUUGGGCAGUCAUCUAAGUUCCUGUUCAAAGCAGUAGAACUUUGUGAAGUUUCACUUUAAUUGCCUCAUGAAGCAUCUUUCCUUUAAUGUUUGUGAAGAAAAAAGGCUGUGAAUUUUCCUCCAUAAGUGUUAUUUUCUGCUGAAUAGUCUUCCAUCUGCAUAAUGGUGGAACAAUAUUUUGUUUUGAAUGUUUAAGUACUGGUUUAACUCAGUAGCCCUUUUUAUAACUCAGAAUAUCUUCCCAGAUGGCUGUCUGAAGAACUGCAUUGUAAGCUGAGAAAGGAGAAGAAGAAGGGAUUGGACAUUACACAAAAUCUGCGUAGCUCAUGAACAGCAACAGCUAAGCUCUGUGAUAAAACAUGUGAACAUCAGGUCCUACAUUUGUGGGUCUCCAUUCUCGCCCAAACAUAAUGCCUGUGACUUGCCAGUUACACUAUAUUUUGCAAACUCAUUUAACCGGAUAGUUUUACUACUGCUUUUGGGGGGUAGAAUGAGCAAGCAACAGCAGUAAAGUCAACUAAAUAUACUUAAGAAGUUAACAUCUCAAAUGAUAUGCACAGAUUUUCCUUAUGAUUGAGUUUCAGCAGUAAUGUACAUUCUUAAAAUACUUUAAAGUUUGGCUCAAAACCUAGUAAGUUCAAGCAUAGAACAGUAGAGUAUUAAAAUGCAAGUGCAAAUUCUCUUCAUGCUCUGUCAUAAAUAAAGCCAAUAUAGGUCCUAUUUCCCUUUACAGAUAGUAAGGAAAUGCUGCUUGCUCUUAUGACACCUCUACACAGUCACUUCUCAAAUGUUUUUACUUCAUUAAAAAAAAAAAAGACAACUGGUUUUCUGUGGGUUUUUACUGUUGCCUGUUUCUGAAAGAAAGUAAGAAAAGGAAUUUUAAGCUGCAACACAAUUAUUGUUCAGGAGUUUCACAAUAAACUCUGUUAUAAAUCUUUCAAGACUACCUUUUGUUUUUCAAAAAAUAUAGUUGGUUUCUUUUGCUUGCUUACAGCAUACACGGAAAGCCUUAUUCACUUCCUGUAGCUAACCCAUGAGGAAGUUUUCCUUCUGUGACUCCUUCUCCAACCCCCUCCAAUCCCUACCAAAGCAGUUCUUUCAAGGCUUUUCAAUCCUGAUGUAAAGGAAUUGAAGGAUUGGAAUAACCUCCAUCUCCUUUGUUCCUGUAGACUUUCAGUUCAUCUACAGUGAUUUCUCUAGGUACGUACACCUUUUUUGCACUCUUGUUUUCCUUUCACCACAGACAGAUAGCAAAUACUAACACAACUGCUUGACAGCUAUCUCCAGAUUCCCUCAGCAUACCAAUUUGAUGGCUUAACAUUAGCCUGAAGCGACGCACUGUGACUGACAAUGUGUGAUUUAGCCCCAGGUGAUGCAACCACAGCAGUAGCACUGAAUAAGAAGGGGAUCCUUCUUGCGCUGUUUCAGAAUAGCAGCUCAUCAGCACGCUUAAAAUGGCACCGGGCACUCAUGCUGAGGCAGCUGAAAGUUACACAAGUGUCUUCUGGAGCCAGGACAGCGGGUCAUCCAAGGUGAAUGCUUAAUGACCAGUCAGCCAAAUGACUGUGCAGGAUCAGGCAACUACACGAGGAAUUCAGACUCUAAGCAUCCUAACUUGGAGCUGAACUACUCAUACUGCACUGAAGAGCAGUAGAGGGUUCCCUUACUUUAGACAUAUCCAAAAUGUUUCUUGUUCUCAGCAAUGUUUACGUCAACUACCUGGGAAAAAUGCUUGGCCUGAAAUUGCCAUUCACUUCUGCUCCUUUUCAUGUUCAUUGAGUGUCCAUGCUUAUUUUAAGAUGUAAUUCUUUAGGCCUUCACACCAAUUAAAAUUUUAAGCAUAUAAUUGAUAAUUCGCUGGAAAAAAAUGAAAAGCCAUGACACACAGAUAUUUCCCAGCAUGCUGACAGUGGGUGAGAUCUUGAUGUAGAAGGCAGAGACCACAAGGCAAAGCACGAGGAUAAUACAGGAGAACUCCAUAAUUAUACCUCUUACUGCAUAUGCCCUUCACUGAUUCUUUAGGACAGUCUUUGACAAACUGGAAGGAGAAGCAAGGAAAAGGGAGAACAUACCUGGUUUUAGGUCAUGUCCAAAUUCCUGCUAUAUUCACUAAAACGGUCCAGAUAAUCCAAUAAAAGGAAAAAAGCUAGGAAUUAUUCCUCUUAGAAAAUUAAAGUACCACGGCAAAUAAAUGUUCCAGGAUUGAUGGAUGGUUUUUCUUUUCUUUUUAAACUAAAUAGUAGUUUAAUUCUAGUAGUUUAAUAGAAGUGCUUGUUAUAUGUUGGUUCCCAACACUAUAUUAGACUGUUGUAUGAUGUCAGAAAGAAUGUAGAGGCCCACAGACAUGUCUGGUGAGUGAAGAUGUACCUUCUCAUCUGAAGAAGUGUUGUUGCUCAUAAAGCAAGUCCGAGAGCCUCUUACCAAAAUACCAAUUCCAAGAGCUCCCCAUUUUAGGCAAUCUACGUUCUCACCCAUGUGUCUUUUGACACGUCCUCUGGCAAGGACCUGAAUGUUCUUAUUUGAUAGUUUUGCAGGUUCUUCCCUGAAGUACAUAGCACAACACACUACUCAGUACCUGCCAGCACAGCAUCAGAAAUGAGCUCAUUUCCUCACAAACAUCAGCCAAAUAGCUGCUUACCUUUGGGAGGUCUUGAGACUAGCCUAGGUUAAAUCUAAAGAUGCUUUUUAGCUACAGCCAUCAUCAGAGCAACCAACUUCUGGAAGAGGGAAAGCGACAGGUUAAAGCCUUUACUUAUAAAACUGAAAUUGUCAAAGAAAAUGAAUAUAUCUUCUGGGGUUUAUCAGUAGGAUUUUUGUUGUCUUUUUUUUGUUGUUUUGUUUUGUUUUUGUUUUUGUUUUUUUAAGAGCAACACUUUACUCAGAAGUUUUAGGAAGGUAUUCACAUGAAGUUUAGGAGCUUUUCUAAUUCUGCACAGCUUAAUCUUAUUCAUUAACUACCAAAAAUAAAACGAUAAAAAAACC